AAUUAGCCAAAAAUAGGACAUCAAGUGGUGUAUAAAUUUCGUAAGCUUUGGCGCGAAGAUUCAAAUCGGCGAAGAAGCAAACUGUGCACUUGAGCCCAUAUUAACACUCCACGCGGUAAAUUUGAAUCGCUGAAAAAAAAAACUCUGAAUCUAGUCGGCAGAUUUCGAGUUUUCGUUUUUGAACAGAUGGCUGACAGAGUUUGCAACAAACUUAUCUACGAAAUGCCGUGGGAAAAGUACACGAAUGUCAGUGAGAUACCUCACCAAAAAGGCAUAUACGUGAUAGGAGUCAAUUGCACGAUGAGCGGACAAAAGGCAAUCAAAUACCUUUAUCUUGGCCAAUCCAGAGACGUCCAUGCGAGACUGAAACAACACAAAUAUGGCGAUCAAGAAAUUGACAAGUUCGUUAAGCUCAAAUUUCGACGGAAUGGCGGAAAAGAUCUCUGCGUUAAGUGGAUUAAAGAGCCUAAACACAAGGAGAAGGAGACUGUUUACAUCAAAUGCGUUGAGAAUAAGCUAGGUUAUAAAUUGAAAUACAACAGAAUAGGUAGAGGCAACUAAAAUAUGAUAAAGACAUGUUUUAGAGAAUCGAUCGAGCAGUUUUUUUUAAUCUUUUCAGUUUGUGAGCUUAGAAGUUACUCAGUCAUCAGUUGUUAGUACACUUAUGCUUGAGAGUAGAAAUGAUCGGCCAUAAGUAUCCACAAAACAUGUAAUUUUUAGUAUUCAUCUAAGUGGUACAGAAAGGACAUUUUAAAGUAUGUAAGUCGAUCGGCAUAAGUUAUUCACGAAAUACAAAUAGCAUUUGUUACAAAAUA